UAUUGGUCAAUGGGCGGGAGCCUGCACCAGCCAAGCCGCGUGAGGGAAGAAGGUACAGCGUAUCGUAAACCUCUUUUGUCAGGGAACAAAGGCGGGGACUAGUCCCCGGAUGAGGGUACCUGAAGAAAAAGCAUCGGCUAACUCCGUGCCAGCAGCCGCGGUAAUACGGAGGAUGCGAGCGUUAUCCGGAUUUAUUGGGUUUAAAGGGUGCGCAGGCGGCCUGUUAAGUCAGCGGUAAAAGCCCGGGGCUCAACCCCGGCGAGCCGUUGAAACUGCCGUGCUAGAGAGGAAGAGAAGUAGGCGGAAUGCGCAGUGUAGCGGUGAAAUGCUUAGAUAUUGCGCAGAACUCCGAUUGCGAAGGCAGCCUACCGGCUUCUGUCUGACGCUGAGGCACGAAAGCGUGGGUAUCG
rnacentral:rRNA from 1 species